AUGUGCUGGGGGUCGCGGUGGCUCAUCCGGGCGACGGCAUCCGCGCGCUCCCCCGCCCCCGCUUGGAUGUGGGCGGCAGGGCAGGGCAGGGGAGGGGCCGCGAGGAAACCCUCCUGCGCUUUCGAGUACCUCCCCCUCCCCGCCCCUCCCCCUGCGCUCGGCGGCCGCGGAGGGAAGGAGCGAGGCGGCGCGGAGGCCGGGCGAGCGGAGGGGGUUCGGGAGGGAGGGAGGGGGGAACAGGCAAGGCGAGGACUCGGCGCCGGACCCGGGCGGGGAGGAAGACGGGGUGGGAGGGAGCGAGCGGGGGAGGGGGGGGCGCGCGCGCAAGGGCCCCCCUGCCCGCGAGGCGAGGGGCGGGGCGGCGCGCGGAUCGAUGGGCGAAGCUGGGGCGGAAUUUCAAUCCCCGGAGCGAAGUUAGAGCCGGGAGGACGGCGGCGGCGGCGGCGGCGGGCGCAGCCCCGGAAAGGGGGAGCUGCCCUGGUGACCAUUUGUCCUGCGCUCCAUCUGGACCCAUGCUCUUCCUCUGUGUCCUGCGAUGAGGAGAAGAUGUCCGUGACUCCCGCGGGGAGGGACCCACCAGCCUGUCCCUCUCAGCCGCGUCAGGUCGCCGGGGGGCCCUGACCCAAAGCAGGACCAGCUGAGCUGGAGCUGCAGGGUGGAGCUGUCCGGACGCGCAGGCCGAUGGGGACGGAGGUCACGGCCAUGGCAGGACGCGGGCGGACGACGAGAGGCGGCGGGCAGUGAGGGAGGCGCGUCCCUCCCAGCACUCGCGCCGUGCGACCAUGCGGUUUGGGACAGGACGCCCCUGAGUCUGCAAGCAGCCUCCCCUCCCGCCCCUCUGUCCCUUCGGAGGCUGCAGCCCGGCCCCCCACCCAGUCCCCCCACCCCCACCCCUGGGCAGGCUGAGCGGGGU
rnacentral:lncRNA from 1 species